AGUGAACGCUGGCGGUAGGCCUAACACAUGCAAGUCGAACGGCAGCACAGUAAGAGCUUGCUCUUACGGGUGGCGAGUGGCGGACGGGUGAGGAAUACAUCGGAGUCUACUUUUUCGUGGGGGAUAACGUAGGGAAACUUACGCUAAUACCGCAUACGACCUACGGGUGAAAGCAGGGGAUCUUCGGACCUUGCGCGAUUGAAUGAGCCGAUGUCGGAUUAGCUAGUUGGCGGGGUAAAGGCCCACCAAGGCGACGAUCCGUAGCUGGUCUGAGAGGAUGAUCAGCCACACUGGAACUGAGACACGGUCCAGACUCCUACGGGAGGCAGCAGUGGGGAAUAUUGGACAAUGGGCGCAAGCCUGAUCCGGCCAUACCGCGUGGGUGAAGAAGGCCUUCGGGUUGUAAAGCCCUUUUGUUGGGAAAGAAGAGCAGCAGGUUAAUACCCCGCUGUUCUGACGGUACCCAAAGAAUAAGCACCGGCUAACUUCGUG
rnacentral:rRNA from 1 species